rnacentral:rRNA from 1 species
GCGGGCAGUUUGACUGGGGCGGUCGCCUCCUAAAGAGUAACGGAGGCGCUCAAAGGUUCCCUCAGAAUGGUUGGAAAUCAUUCAUAGAGUGUAAAGGCAUAAGGGAGCUUGACUGCGAGACCUACAAGUCGAGCAGGGUCGAAAGACGGACUUAGUGAUCCGGUGGUUCCGCAUGGAAGGGCCAUCGCUCAACGGAUAAAAGCUACCCCGGGGAUAACAGGCUUAUCUCCCCCAAGAGUUCACAUCGACGGGGAGGUUUGGCACCUCGAUGUCGGCUCAUCGCAUCCUGGGGCUGUAGUCGGUCCCAAGGGUUGGGCUGUUCGCCCAUUAAAGCGGUACGCGAGCUGGGUUCAGAACGUCGUGAGACAGUUCGGUCCCUAUCCGUCGUGGGCGUAGGAAAUUUGAGAGGAGCUGUCCUUAGUACGAGAGGACCGGGAUGGACAUACCUCUGGUGUACCAGUUGUCGUGCCAACGGCAUAGCUGGGUAGCUAUGUAUGGACGGGAUAAGUGCUGAAAGCAUCUAAGCAUGAAGCCCCCCUCGAGAUGAGAUUUCCCAACUUCGGUUAUAAGAUCCCUCAAAGAUGAUGAGGUGAAU